rnacentral:lncRNA from 1 species
CAAUAGACUUCAAUCACAUUUUAGACUAAACCUUAAAUCUUGAAUCCUAAAUCCUAUGUAAAUUCUAAAUCUUAAAAAAAUCCUAAAUCCUAAAUCCUAAGUAAAUCCUAAAUUAAAUCUUAAAUCCUAAUUCAAUCCUAAAUUCUAAUCAAAUCUUAAAUCCUAAUCCAAUCCUAAUCAUAAAUUAAAUUUUAACUAAAAUCUAAUCCAAAUUAUAAAUACUAAUCAAAUUUUAAUCAAAUUUUAAGAAAAUCUUAAAUCCUAAAUUUGAAAAAAAUUCUUAAUUCUAAAUCCUAAGCAAACCUUAAAUCCUAAAUCCUGAGAAAAUCUUAAGUAAAUUCUAUAUCCUAAAUCCUAAGAAAAUCUUAAAGCAAACCAUAAAUCCUAGUCCAACCAUAAAUCCUAACCAAAUCUUGAUCAAAUCCUAAAACCUACCCAACCCUAAUAC